CACGUAGGGGGCGAGCGUUGUCCGGAUUUAUUGGGCGUAAAGAGCUCGUAGGCGGCUAAGUAAGUCGGGUGUGAAAGUCCAGGGCUCAACCCUGGGAUGCCGGUGGAAACUGUCGGGCUAGAGUCCGGAAGAGGCGAGUGGAAUUCCUGGUGUAGCGGUGAAAUGCGCAGAUAUCGGGAGGAACACCAAUGGCGAAGGCAGCUUGCUGGGACGGUACUGACGCUGAGGCGCGAAAGCGUGGGGAGCAAACAGG
rnacentral:rRNA from 1 species